rnacentral:misc_RNA from 1 species
GAUGAAGAACGUAGCGAAAUGCGAUAAGUAGUGUGAAUUGCAGAAGUACCGUGAAUCAUCGAAUCUUUGAACGCAAAUUGCACUCUCUGGUAUUCCGGGGAGUAUGCCUGUUUGAGGGUCGCUUAACAAACCAUCGAUUUCGUUGCUUUUUUUUUUAAAAAAGUGAUGUUUAUCGGAUUUGAGCCGUCUUUUUUUUUUAUAUUUAAGUGGCUUAAAAUUGAUUUUUUUGGUACGAUCGAAGCGUAUUUUUAUGAUCAAUUUUUGGUUAAAGAAACGCACACGUACCGUUAUUUAUAUGAUGUAAUACGUUUGACUAUUGGAUUUAGUUCAUUCGUAUACGAUAUUUUUCAAUAUUUGACCUCAAAUCAGGUAAGAACACCCGCUGAACUUAAGCAUAUCAAUAAGCGGAGGA